rnacentral:rRNA from 1 species
AACGAACGCUGGCGGCGUGCUUAACACAUGCAAGUCGAGCGAGAAAGGUACCUUCGGGUGCUGAGUAAAGCGGCGAACGGGUGAGUAACACGUGGGUAACGUACCUUUCAAUGGGGGAUAACAGUUUGAAAAGACUGCUAAUACCGCAUAAGACCACGACUUCUUAGGGAGAUGGGGUAAAAGGCUUCGGCCGUUGAAAGAUCGGCUCGCGGCCCAUUAGAUAGUUGGUGAGGUAAUGGCUCACCAAGUCAGAGAUGGGUAGCUGGUCUGAGAGGAUGAUCAGCCACACUGGGACUGAGACACGGCCCAGACUCCUACGGGAGGCAGCAGUGGGGAAUCUUGCGCAAUGGACGAAAGUCUGACGCAGCAACGCCGCGUGUGUGAUGAAGGCUUUCGGGUCGUAAAGCACUGUCAGGAGGGAAGAAGAAAGUGACGGUACCUCCAAAGGAAGCACCGGCUAACUCCGUGCCAGCAGCCGCGGUAAUACGGAGGGUGCAAGCGUUGUUCGGAAUUAUUGGGCGUGAAGCGCGCGCAGGCGGCUUGCCAAGUCCGAUGUGAAAGCCCAGGGCUCAACCUUGGAUGUGCAUUGGAAACUGGCAGGCUUGAGUAUGUGAGGGGUCAGUGGAAUUCCUGGUGUAGGAGUGAAAUCCGUAGAGAUCAGGAGGAACACCAGUGGCGAAGGCGACUGACUGGAACAUAACUGACGCUGAGGCGCGAAAGCGUGGGUAGCAAACAGGAUUAGAUACCCUGGUAGUCCACGCCGUAAACGAUGUUCACUAGCUGCUGUGUCCUUAGAUGAUGCAGUGGCGUAGCUAACGCGUUAAGUGAACCGCCUGGGGAGUACGGCCG